GACGAACGCUGGCGGCGUGCUUAACACAUGAAAGUCGAACGGAAAGGCCCUUUCGGGGGUACACGAGUGGCCAACGGGGGAGUAACACGGGGGUUAUCUUCCCUGCUCUUUUGGAUAAGCCUUGGAAACUUGGUCUAAUACCUGAUAGGACUACGCCAUUCAUGUGGUGUGUUGGAAAGCUUUUGUGGGGUGGGAUGGGGCCGGGGCCUAGCAGCUUGUUGGGGGGGUGAUGGACCAACAAGGCGACGGGCGGUAGCCGGCCUGAGGGGGUGUGCGGCCAUGCUGCGAAUGUGAGACGGACCAGACUCCGACGGGCGGCAGCGGUGAGGAAUGUUGAACAAUGGGAGGAAGCAUGAUGCGGCGACGCCGGGUGGGUGAUGACGGCCUUCGGGUUGUAACCCUCUUGCAGCAAAGACGAAGCGUAAGUGACGGUAGGUGCAGAAGAAGCACCGGCUAACUACGUG
rnacentral:rRNA from 1 species